UACAGAGGUGGCAAGCGUUGUUCGGAAUUACUGGGCGUAAAGGGCGCGUAGGCGGCCAUCUAAGUCAGACGUGAAAUCCCCCGGCUUAACCUGGGAACUGCGUCCGAUACUGGAUGGCUUGAGUUUGGGAGAGGGAUGCGGAAUUCCAGGUGUAGCGGUGAAAUGCGUAGAUAUCUGGAGGAACACCGGUGGCGAAGGCGGCAUCCUGGACCAACACUGACACUGAGGAGCGAAAGCGUGGGGAGCAAACAGG
rnacentral:rRNA from 1 species